AAGGCUUUAAGUUAAUUCAAACUAAUAACCUUCAAAGCUAUAAAUAAAGACCUCUUUAAGCCUUA
rnacentral:tRNA from 1 species